ACUUUUGGUACAAUAAAGUGUCUGAGUAAGUAAGUCACACAGUUCUGUAUAUAUGAGAUAUACAUGAGGAAUUUUCUGGAGCUAUUAAUACAGUUCUUGAAUGUUCUGAAUUUUUUCGAGUUUUUUCUCAUGAAAAACCUUUUACAGAUUGAUAGGUUAUAUGAUUGGAAAAAGAGUCCCGACUCUGAUGUGGCUGCUACUUUAAAGAAGCAGAAAAAAAAUACAAAAGAUGAAUUUGAAGAGCGAGCAAAGGCUAUUAUUGUAGAAUUUGCGCAGCAGGGUUUAAAUGCUGCUUUGUUUUAUGAGAAAAAAGAUCCCCGCACUUUCGUGUCUUUGGUACCUACCUCUGCACAUACUGGUGAUGGCAUGGGAAGUCUGAUCUACCUUUUUGUGGAGUUAACUCAGACCAUGUUGAGCAAGAGACUUGCGCACUGUGAAGAGCUAAGAGCACAAGUGAUGGAGGUUAAAGCUCUCCCAGGGAUGGGCACCACUGUAGAUGUCAUCUUGAUCAAUGGGCGUUUGAAGGAAGGAGAUACAAUCAUUGUUCCUGGAGUAGAAGGGCCCAUUGUAACUCAGAUUCGAGGCCUCCUGUUACCUCCUCCUAUGAAGGAAUUACGAGUGAAGGUACGCUGAGGUGUAUGAAAAGAAGUAGAAGCAGCUUAGGGGGUAAAGAUUCUUGGAGAAGACCUGGAGAAAACCUUGGCUGAUUUACCCCUCCUCGUGGCUUAUAAAGAAGAUGAAAUCCCUGUUUUUAAAGAUGAAUCGAUCCAUGAAUUAAAGCAGACACUAAAUGCUAUCAAGUUAGAAGAAAAAGGAGUCUAUGUCCAGGCAUCUACACUGGGUUCUUUGGAAGCUCUACUUGAAUUUCUGAAAACAUCAGAAGUGCCCUAUGCAGGAAUUAACAUUGGCCCAGUGCAUAAAAAAGAUGUUAUGAAGGCUUCGGUGAUGUUGGAACAUGACCCUCAGUAUGCAGUAAUUUUGGCCUUCAAUGUGAGAAUUGAACGAGAUGCCCAAGAAAUGGCUGAUAGUUUAGGAGUUAGAAUUUUUAGUGCAGAAAUUAUUUAUCACUUAUUUGAUGCCUUUACAAAAUAUAGACAAGACUACAAGAAACAGAAACAAGAAGAAUUUAAGCACAUAGCAGUAUUUCCCUGCAAGAUGAAAAUACUCCCUCAGUACAUUUUUAAUUCUCGAGAUCCGAUAGUGAUGGGGGUGACGGUGGAAGCAGGUCAGGUGAAACAGGGGACACCCAUGUGCGUCCCAAGCAAAAAUUUUGUUGACAUCGGAAUAGUAGCAAGUAUUGAAAUAAACCAUAAACAAGUGGAUGUUGCCAAAAAAGGACAAGAAGUCUGUGUAAAAAUAGAACCUAUCCCUGGUGAUUCGCCCAAAAUGUUUGGAAGACAUUUUGAAGCUACAGACAUUCUUGUCAGUAAGAUCAGCCGGCAGUCCAUUGAUGCACUCAAAGACUGGUUCAGAGAUGAAAUGCAGAAGAGUGACUGGCAGCUUAUUGUGGAGCUGAAGAAAGUAUUUGAAAUCAUCUAAUUUUUCCACGUGGAACGGGAACUGGAGUAAAUGCAAUACUGUGUUGUAACAUCCCAACAAAACAAGGCAAAAAAUGGAAGAGAUGUACCUGGACACUAAUGGACUUAAAUAUGGAAGGAAGAAAAAUAGGUGUAUAAAAUGUUUUCCAUGAGAAACCAAGAAACUUACACUGGUUUGACAGUGGUCAGUUACAUGUCCCCACAGUUCCAAUGUGCCUGUUCACUCACCCCUCCUUUCCCCAACCCUUCUCUACUUGGCUGCUGUUUUAAAGUUUGCCCUUCCCCAAAUUUGGAUUUUUAUUACAGAUCUAAAGCUCUUUCAAUUUUAUACUGAUUAAAUCAGUACUGCAGUAUUUGAUUAACCAA